UUUUGGGUAGUCUAGUGGUAUAUCUCAUGGUUUCUACACAGGGGGUCCUGGUUCAAUUCCUACCCUGGACA